rnacentral:rRNA from 1 species
UACGUAGGUGGCAAGCGUUGUCCGGAAUUAUUGGGCGUAAAGCGCGCGCAGGUGGUUUCUUAAGUCUGAUGUGAAAGCCCACGGCUCAACCGUGGAGGGUCAUUGGAAACUGGGGAACUUGAGUGCAGGAGAGAAAAGUGGAAUUCCACGUGUAGCGGUGAAAUGCGUGGAGAUGUGGAGGAACACCAGUGGCGAAGGCGACUUUUUGGCCUGUAACUGACGCUGAGGCGCGAAAGCGUGGGGAGCAAACAGG